rnacentral:rRNA from 1 species
UACGGAGGGUGCAAGCGUUAUCCGGAUUCACUGGGUUUAAAGGGUGCGUAGGAGGGCAGGUAAGUCAGUGGUGAAAUCUCCAAGCUUAACUUGGAAAUUGCCGUUGAUACUAUCUGUCUUGAAUAUUGUGGAGGUGAGCGGAAUAUGUCAUGUAGCGGUGAAAUGCUUAGAUAUGACAUAGAACACCAAUUGCGAAGGCAGCUCACUACACAAUCAUUGACUCUGAGGCACGAAAGCGUGGGGAUCAAACAGG